rnacentral:rRNA from 1 species
AGGGAAACCGAGUCUUAACUGGGCGUUAAGUUGCAGGGUAUAGACCCGAAACCCGGUGAUCUAGCCAUGGGCAGGUUGAAGGUUGGGUAACACUAACUGGAGGACCGAACCGACUAAUGUUGAAAAAUUAGCGGAUGACUUGUGGCUGGGGGUGAAAGGCCAAUCAAACCGGGAGAUAGCUGGUUCUCCCCGAAAGCUAUUUAGGUAGCGCCUCGUGAACUCAUCUUCGGGGGUAGAGCACUGUUUCGGCUAGGGGGUCAUCCCGACUUACCAACCCGAUGCAAACUGCGAAUACCGAAGAAUGUUAUCACGGGAGACACACGGCGGGUGCUAACGUCCGUCGUGAAGAGGGAAACAACCCAGACCGCCAGCUAAGGUCCCAAAGUCACAGUUAAGUGGGAAACGAUGUGGGAAGGCUCAGACAGCCAGGAUGUUGGCUUAGAAGCAGCCAUCAUUUAAAGAAAGCGUAAUAGCUCACUGGUCGAGUCGGCCUGCGCGGAAGAUGUAACGGGGCUAAACUGUGCACCGAAGCUGCGGCAGCGACGCUUAUGCGUUGUUGGGUAGGGGAGCGUUCUGUAAGCCUGCGAAGGUGUCCUGUGAGGGAUGCUGGAGGUAUCAGAAGUGCGAAUGCUGACAUAAGUAACGAUAAUGCGGGUGAAAAGCCCGCUCGCCGGAAGACCAAGGGUUCCUGUCCAACGUUAAUCGGGGCAGGGUGAGUCGACCCCUAAGGCGAGGCCGAAAGGCGUAGUCGAUGGGAAACGGGUUAAUAUUCCCGUACUUGGUGUUACUGCGAAGGGGGGACGGAGAAGGCUAUGUUGGCCGGGCGACGGUUGUCCCGGUUUAAGCGUGUAGGCUGGUUUUC